GAUCCUGGCUCAGGAUGAACGCUAGCUACAGGCUUAACACAUGCAAGUCGAGGGGCAGCAUGAAGUUUGCUUGCAAACUUUGAUGGCGACCGGCGCACGGGUGAGUAACGCGUAUCCAACCUGGCCCUUAGUAGGGGAUAGCCCGGCGAAAGUCGGAUUAAUACCCUAUGUUCUUCGUCGAGGACAUCUGAAAUGAAGCAAAGGUUUACCGCUAAGGGAUGGGGAUGCGUCUGAUUAGGUAGUCGGCGGGGUAACGGCCCACCGAGCCAUCGAUCAGUAGGGGUUCUGAGAGGAAGGUCCCCCACAUUGGAACUGAGACACGGUCCAAACUCCUACGGGAGGCAGCAGUGAGGAAUAUUGGUCAAUGGGCGAGAGCCUGAACCAGCCAAGUAGCGUGCAGGAAGACGGCCCUAUGGGUUGUAAACUGCUUUUAUAUGGGGAUAAAGUCGCCUACGUGUAGGUGUUUGUAGGUACCAUAUGAAUAAGGACCGGCUAAUUCCGUGCC
rnacentral:rRNA from 1 species